rnacentral:misc_RNA from 1 species
GGAAGGAUCAUUAAACAAAUUAUAUCACGAUUUGUCAGUAAUCAUGAGCGUAGCGAGUGAUUACUGGCGAAUUGUGUAUCACGACAACAAUAAAUCAUGAGCGCAAGCGAAUGAUUUAUUGUGUUGGCGAUACUAGAUACGAGGACGCAUUUAUGCCGAGUAUCGAUAUCUUGUUGCGCUAGCGACAAGAUGUCAGCAUAUUGAAUCUAAUAGCUAACGCUAUGAGAAUUGACUUUAUGUCGAUUCAAUAUAUACGCAGUCAUAUUCAAUCUCAUAGCUAACGCUAUUCGAUUGAAUAUGACUACACACAAUAAUGUUGACAACAUCCACAAAAAUUAAAACUUUCAACAAUGGAUCUCUUGGCUCUUGCAGCGAUGAAGAACGCGGCGAACUGCGAAAAGUAAUGUGACCUGCAACCUUUGUGAAACAUCCAAUCUUUGAACGCAACUUGCACCAGUUUUACUGGUAUACUUGUUUGAGUAUCAUAUAAAAAUGAUAAUUGAGCAUUCUGCAUGCGUAUGCGUGCAGAUGCUUUAAAGAGUGUUGGACUGUGCUGGGAUAAACAUUCUGUACAGAGAUGUGCAAGGAAUAUGCGCAAGCAUAUUCUUUGCAUAUUGACCAACAUAACUGUAUGUUGCAGAUAUCUUGCUUUGGCACAAUAUCACAAUCUACACAUGCAUCAAUUAUGCUCACUGCUAACAUCUGCUAACGCAGACGUCAGCAGCUCGCAUAAUUGACGCACUACUGAUCUCAAAUCAAGCAAGGAUACCUGCUGAAUUUAAGCAUAUUAAUAAGCAGAGGAAAAGAAACUGACAAGGAUUCCCCCAGUAGCGGCGAGCGAACAGGGAAGAGCUCAAAUUUAAAAUCUGGCGCAAGCCCGAAUUGUAUUUGCAAGACCCCACGAUUUUAAGCUGGUUGUAUCCGAGUCCGUUGGAAAGCGGCAACACAGAGGGUGAGAUUCCCGUCUAGAUACAGCCCGUAAAGAAAUACGGGGCUCUACGAGUCGGAUUGCUUGGGAAUGCAGUCCCAAAUGGGUGGUACACGCCAUCUAAAGCUAAAUAACGGCAAGAGACCGAUAGCGAACAAGUACCGUGAGGGAAAGAUGAAAAGAACUUUGAAAAGAGAGUUAAACAGUACGUGAAAUUGUUGAAAUGGACCCGCUUGGUAUGAGUGGAAGGGGGAUGGGUGUGUAGAGAUUUAAUAAGCGUAUGGAAAAUGGUAGCCUCGGCUUCUUUAUAGACACACACCUACAAUCUCCCAAUACCCACCCCUCAACUUGUGCCAAACGACCCGUCUUGAAACACGGACCAAGGAGUCUAACAAGAGUGCGAGUAUUUGAGUGGCAAACUCGGAUGCGCAAGGAAAGUGACGCGUAUGAACCCUCGGGGGCAAUACGGGGCGGAUGCAGAUUAAUUUGUGUUUGCGCAGGAGCACUGGUGUUGGGACCCGAAAGAUGGUGAACUAUGCCUGAAUAGGGCGAAGGCAGAGGAAACUCUGGUGGAGGCUCGUAGACAUUCUGACGUGCAAAUCGAUGUUCGAAUUUGGGUAUAGGGGCGAAAGACUAAUCGAACCAUCUAGUAGCUGGUUCCCUC